rnacentral:rRNA from 1 species
GUGAGGAAUAUUGGUCAAUGGGCGAGAGCCUGAACCAGCCAAGUCGCGUGAAGGAUGAAGGUUUUAUGAAUUGUAAACUUCUUUUGCAGGGGAAUAAAGUACGGUACGUGUACCGUUUUGUAUGUACUCUGCGAAUAAGGAUCGGCUAACUCCGUGCCAGCAGCCGCGGUAAUACGGAGGAUCCAAGCGCUAUCCGGAUUUAUUGGGUUUAAAGGGUGCGCAGGCGGGUUGAUAAGUCAGCGGUGAAAGUUUGCAGCUUAACUGUAAAAUUGCCGUUGAAAGUGUCGAUCUUGAGUGCAAAUGAGGUAAGCGGAAUGUGUUGUGUAGCGGUGAAAUGCUUAGAUAUAACACAGAACACCGAUUGCGAAGGCAGCUUACUGGGAUGCAACUGACGCUCAUGCACGAAAGCGUGGGGAUCAAACAGGAUUAGAAACCCUGGUAGUCC